rnacentral:lncRNA from 11 species
GCUAAAGUAGCAAAAAGCUUCUCUAUUGUUGAGGGUUGAUGUUGAAGGAGUUGUGUUGAUGAAGAGUUGCUGUUGGAGAGAAAGUUGCAAAGAUACAGAAGAACUGGAGACCAGUGAGAUCCUUUUGCAUUGGCCUAGAGAGAUUAAUCUAUUGUUGAUUUAUUCAUGGCUAAAGACAUGUUACUCCGGGGAGCU